rnacentral:rRNA from 1 species
UACGUAGGGUGCAAGCGUUGUCCGGAAUUAUUGGGCGUAAAGAGCUCGUAGGCGGUCUGUUGCGUCGGCUGUGAAAACCCGGGGCUCAACCCCGGGCCUGCAGCCGAUACGGGCAGACUAGAGUUCGGCAGGGGAGACUGGAAUUCCUGGUGUAGCGGUGAAAUGCGCAGAUAUCGGGAGGAACACCAAUUGCGAAGGCAGCUCGCUGGGACGUAACUGACGCUGAGACGCGAAAGCGUGGGGAGCGAACAGG